rnacentral:rRNA from 1 species
AUUGAACGCUGGCGGCAUGCCUUACACAUGCAAGUCGAACGGCAGCACGGGUGCUUGCACCUGGUGGCGAGUGGCGAACGGGUGGGUAAUACAUCGGAACGUACCUUAUCGUGGGGGAUAACGCAGCGAAAGCUGUGCUAAUACCGCAUACGCCCUGAGGGGGAAAGCGGGGGAUCGAAAGACCUCGCGCGAUUAGAGCGGCCGAUGCCUGAUUAGCUUGUUGGUGGGGUAAAAGCCCACCAAGGCGACGAUCAGUAGCUGGUCUGAGAGGACGAUCAGGCACCCUGGGACUGAGACACGGCCCAGACUCCUACGGGGGGCAGCAGUGGGGAAUUUUGGACAAUGGGGGCAACCCUGAUCCAGCAAUGCCGCGUGGGUGGAGAAGGCCUUCGGGUUGUAAAGCUCUUUUGUCAGGGAAGAAACACCGGCUCUAACACAGUCCGGGAAUGACGGUACCUGAAGAAUAAGCACCGGCUAACUACGUGCCAGCCGCCGCAGUAA